AAGAUGCUAGUAAAACUAAAAUUGCACUGCCUCGUCAGGGCAGAAUUGUGGGUUAAAACCCCGCGCAUCUU